GAUGAACGCUGGCGGCGUGCCUAAUACAUGCAAGUCGAGCGAACGGACGAGAAGCUUUCUUCUCUGCUGUUAGCGGCGGACGGGCGAGUAACACGUGGAUAACCUACCUAUAAGACUGGGAUAACUUCGGGAAACCGGAGCUAAUACCGGCUAAUAUUUUGAACCGCAUGGUUCAAAAGUGAAAGACGGUCUUGCUGUCACUUAUAGAUGGAUCCGCGCUGCAUUAGCUAGUUGGUAAGGUAACGGCUUACCAAGGCAACGAUGCAUAGCCGACCUGAGAGGGUGAUCAGCCACACUGGAACUGAGACGCGGUCCAGACUCCUACGGGAGGCAGCAGUAGGGAAUCUUCCGCAAAGGGCGAAAGCCUGACGGAGCAACGCCGCGUGAGUGAUGAAGGUCUUCGGAUCGUAAAACUCUGUUAUUAGGGAAGAACAUAUGUGUAAGUAACUGUGCACAUCUUGACGGUACCUAAUCAGAAAGCCACGGCUAACUACGUG
rnacentral:rRNA from 1 species